rnacentral:rRNA from 1 species
UAUUUGACGUUACCUACAGAAGAAGCACCGGCUAACUCCGUGCCAGCAGCCGCGGUAAUACGGAGGGUGCGAGCGUUAAUCGGAAUUACUGGGCGUAAAGCGCAUGCAGGCGGCCUGUUAAGUCAGAUGUGAAAGCCCGGGGCUUAACCUCGGAAUUGCAUUUGAAACUGGCAGGCUAGAGUCUUGUAGAGGGGGGUAGAAUUUCAGGUGUAGCGGUGAAAUGCGUAGAGAUCUGAAGGAAUACCAGUGGCGAAGGCGGCCCCCUGGACAAAGACUGACGCUCAGAUGCGAAAGCGUGGGGAGCAAACAGGAUUAGAUACCCUGGUAGUCCACGCCGUAAACGAUGUCUACUUGGAGGUUGUGGCCUUGAGCCGUGGCUUUCGGAGCUAACGCGUUAAGUAGACCGCCUGGGGAGUACGGUCGCAAGAUUAAAACUCAAAUGAAUUGACGGGGGCCCGCACAAGCGGUGGAGCAUGUGGUUUAAUUCGAUGCAACGCGAAGAACCUUACCUACUCUUGACAUCCAGAGAAGCUUGAAGAGAUUCGAGUGUGCCUUCGGGAACUCUGAGACAGGUGCUGCAUGGCUGUCGUCAGCUCGUGUUGUGAAAUGUUGGGUUAAGUCCCGCAACGAGCGCAACCCUUAUCCUUGUUUGCCAGCACUUCGGGUGGGAACUCCAGGGAGACUGCCGGUGAUAAACCGGAGGAAGGUGGGGACGACGUCAAGUCAUCAUGGCCCUUACGAGUAGGGCUACACACGUGCUACAAUGGCAUAUACAGAGGGCAGCAAGACCGCGAGGUGGAGCGAAUCCCAGAAAGUAUGUCGUAGUCCGGAUCGGAGUCUGCAACUCGACUCCGUGAAGUCGGAAUCGCUAGUAAUCGUGGAUCAGAAUGCCACGGUGAAUACGUUCCCGGGCCUUGUACACACCGCCCGUCACACCAUGGGAGUGGGCUGCACCAGAAGUAGAUAGCUUAACCUUCGGGAGGGCGUUUACCACGGUGUGGUUCAUGACUGGGGUGAAGUCGUAACAAGGUAGCCCUAGGGGAACCUGGGGCUGGAUCACCUCCUUA